ACAGUUCUCGGAUUUGAUGUAAA
rnacentral:siRNA from 1 species